CCUACGGGCGGCAGCAGUGGGGGAUAUUGGACAAUGGGGGAAACCCUGAUCCAGCGACGCCGCGUGAGUGAAGAAGUAUUUCGGUAUGUAAAGCUCUAUCAGCAGGGAAGAAAGACAUGACGGUACCUGAGUAAGACGCGCCGGCUAACUACGUGCCAGCAGCCGCGGUAAUACGUAGGGGGCAAGCGUUAUCCGGAAUUACUGGGUGUAAAGGGAGCGUAGACGGUAAUGCAAGUCUGGAGUGAAAGGCGGGGGCUCAACCCCCGGACUGCUCUGGAAACUGUGUAACUGGAGUGCAGGAGAGGCAGGCGGAAUUCCUAGUGUAGCGGUGAAAUGCGUAGAUAUUAGGAGGAACACCAGUGGCGAAGGCGGCCUGCUGGACUGUAACUGACGUUGAGGCUCGAAAGCGUGGGGAGCAAACAGGAUUAGAUACCCUAGUAGUC
rnacentral:rRNA from 1 species